rnacentral:lncRNA from 1 species
UCAUUUUUAUACAUAAAAUAAGGGUGACAUGAUAAACAAGUUGUUAUCCUGCUGAGAAAGAAUGAGGAAAUUAAUACAUUUUUUAUGGGAAAAAGACAUUUAAUCUACUCUAUGGGAUGUGUGGUGUCAUACGUAAUUUAUUCUGUGGAGUGUCUUUGAUAAUGUGAAGGGAGGGGGAGAAUCUAGAAAUAUUUCAAUUCAUUUCUUACAUACAUACAUACUAUAGUACCACAGAUUACACAAGAAAGGGAUAAGAAUAAGAGAAAAUAUUUUCUGUGUGCUGUACAUUAGUCGUCAUAACACUCCCUUCUACUUUUCUAUAACUUAAUACACCCUUGAAUGUAUACAAUGAAUGGAUCUUUGGGACCGGUCCUCAAGACUGUCACUCUUUAGGACUUUCAGUAACAGAACUGAUUAAACAAAUAAGAAAUAAAGUUGAGUGACGUCAUCAAGGAUCGAACUUAAUAAGUUUUUAGGACUGAUAAGGUGGAUUAAACUGACCGGACUGAGACUGAACUGGAAGGGACUGAAGUCUUCAGACCUAAAUAAGUUUGAAAAUAACACAACAGAUAAUUGUAUUGGCCCGGGAUUUAAAACAGGUCA